rnacentral:rRNA from 2 species
UACGUAGGGUCCGAGCGUUGUCCGGAAUUAUUGGGCGUAAAGGGCUCGUAGGCGGUUUGUCGCGUCGGGAGUGAAAACUCAGGGCUCAACCCUGAGCGUGCUUCCGAUACGGGCAGACUAGAGGUAUGCAGGGGAGAACGGAAUUCCUGGUGUAGCGGUGGAAUGCGCAGAUAUCAGGAGGAACACCGGUGGCGAAGGCGGUUCUCUGGGCAUUACCUGACGCUGAGGAGCGAAAGCAUGGGGAGCGAACAGG